GCCGCCAUAGUGUAAUGGAUAUCACGCAAGAUUCCGGUUCUUGUAAUGAGGGUUCGACUCCCCCUGGCGGUA
rnacentral:tRNA from 1 species